rnacentral:lncRNA from 1 species
UAUACUCCGACCAAUAGGCGAGUUUGGUGAAUUCAUUGUUUUGCCAUCCUGAAAAUAAUAGCCAUGAAGGCUUUCAUAUCUGCCACCACUAGAUGUCACUAGAUAUCAAGCUUCUUAGAACAACUGCGUUACAGGCUUGAACAACUGCUCCCCUCAUUCUAUUAAUACAGUAUUUUAAAACUGUAUCUGUACUGUAUACAUUUUCCACAUUGAAUCUUGUGCAUUUAAUGUGACAUUCAUUCCUAGGAACCGAGCUUCAUUCUGACCAUAAGGCAGCUUACUUUUUGGAUAGGAAUAACUCCUCUAGCCUCUCCUUUAUAUGAAUUGUUGUCAUCCUUUCUUUACGACUCCAAGAGAAACUUUAUACUGGAGGAAGAAUAUUCUACCACUUUGGGAUGCUUCCAAAGAAAUGGGACACCAAAGGAGUGAACUUCAGGUCAUUGGAAGUGGCCAAGCUGGAGGGCGACCUAUGGAGACAUGCAGGAACACCUCCCAGUCUGGAGAUGCUGCCCCAUGGCCCAUAUUUGGAGCUGAUGUGCUGAAGGAUAGAGAGGAAGAGAAAGCUGUAGUUCCUCACCAGAGCCAAGCAGCCCCUCUGAGAGGGUGA